GACGGAGGAUGCAAGUGUUAUCCGGAAUCACUGGGCGUAAAGCGUCUGUAGGUGGUUUAAAAAGUCUACUGUUAAAGCUUGAAGCUUAACUUCAAAAAUGCCGUAGAAACUUUUAAACUUGAGUAUGGUAGGGGUAGAGGGAAUUUCCAGUGGAGCGGUGAAAUGGCGUAGAUCUUGGAAAGACCACCAAUGGCGAAGGCACUCCUACUGGGCCAUAACUGACACUAAGAGACGAAAGCUAGGGGAGCAAAUGGG
rnacentral:rRNA from 1 species